ensembl:lncRNA
CUAAUCACAUCCCCUGAUUUCCAGAAAAGAAAGCUGAGGCAGAGGCAAGUUAGGUAACUUUUGUUCCUCAUUUCUCUAGGUCUAACCAAAGUGCUCUGAAUCCAGAAGGCCUUCCUCAUUCUUUUAACAAAUACUUACUGGGACCUCGGUAUCUGUCAGCCCCUGAUCUUCAAGCUGAGGAUAUCAAGGCCGCAGACAAGAGGGGAAACUCUCAGAGCCAGAAGGGGAAAGUGUUCUACAGCAGCUUCCAGAAAUAGUCAAGUUAGAAGAAGCAGAAGGGAGCCUCUGGAGUGAUCAUCUCUGGGGAUGGAGGAUGGCAGGAUGGAGUUUGCCUUGGAGGGAUUAGUCCCACCCCUGCAAUCACAGUCACUUUACUUAAGUCACAAGGGAGGGAAGGAGAGGAGUCAGAAAGGGAGGAGGGAAAGCAAGAAAGAAGGAAGGGAGGGAGGGAGGAAUUAAGGGAAAGAACUUGCCACCCCACCCCACCCCAACUCCACCCUCCCCACCCCCAGCAUCCAGUGGUUAAGCCUCUGCUCCCAGUGCAGGGGGCAGGAGUUCGAUCCCUGGUUGGGAAGCUAAGAUCCCAUAUGCUUCGUGGCAUAGCCAAUAAAAUAAAAUGAUGGAGCAUUUAUGUGAACAAAGUUCUCUUCUUAUCAAACAAAACAAUUAAAAAAAAUACACCACCCCCAAAAUAUGUCACUUUGGCAUAAAGACUAUUUGGAGCUGAGGCCAAUUGGGAAGCAGCAGACGCAGGAAAGACUCUUCUGCUACCACAUUCCCCCCUUACCUUUCUGCCUAAAAGCAGGGCAUAAAUUUCCCUUCAUAAUGGUGACAUAAAUUCUCCUUGUGAAGGUCCACUUCCCCUACCUCCAACACCCACUCAUACCAGGAGAAGGAGAACAACCUUUAUCUCCAGCGAUCAGGUGAGUCUGCAUAAACAAAUCAACCUGACUCAAACAACACUUAUCUUCCAUUAGCUUCCUCCAGAUAUAUACCUUCCCACAACUUACCAUCCCUAGUAAUCCCGACUCCUUUUCUUUUGUCUGGUCACUUCACCAUUUAUUGCCCUUUGUUAAAAUGGUGGAUAAGACCUCAGGUCUGAUCCCUUCUUUGGGUUUUCACUUUUAUUUUUCCUGUGAAGCCCCCACAUACAUAAAAAUAUUAGCAUCAAUAAAGGAACACGUGCCUUUUUCUCCAAUUAAUCUGUCUUUGUCAGUUUAAUUUGCAGGCUGCAUUAACAGAACGGAAGAGGAUAAAGGAACAGUGCUUUCCUCCCCUACUGAGGCAAGGAAGUGGGGAGAGGGAGGGAGAGAAGGAAGGAAGAAAAGGUUUUCUGACUUGGGACUGGCAUCAGAUAAUUGCUUUCCUUCCAGUUGGACAAUAAAUAAGAUGGGAGGAAUUGACAAGCCCAGGAGACUGGAGGCUGGCUUGGCUCCAUAAAGGCCCAUCAACUUCUCCAUCCUUUAUUGAACCAAGGAAAUGCUAUUAAAAUCAUCAUCUCCAGGCAAGGAAAUAUCCUUUUUACUUGGUUUGGUACUUGGAAGUCAUUUGUUUUCUAAUGAUGCUAAAUUCCACCUCUGGCAUUUACAUAUAUCUAAUUUCAAAAGGCAGACACAGGGAGAAGGCCAAGUUUUUUAAGGCUCUUGGGUUCAUUUUUGAAACCUGUCAGUGCUUCCAGGGCCAAAGAAUUCUACCAGUUGAAAUAAAAUUUUAUAUUCGCAACCAAAACUAAUAAAGCUACAUUCCACCGUGUUAAAAGUGUGUUCCUCUCAACUUUCAAAAAAGGUCAAGGAAACAAUCCACUUAAACCCUUGUAUAUUUCAGGAUUGUUAUUCCCUGAGAGUAUCUUCUCUAUUUUUCAAAUUAAGCACGUAAAUAAAAUAAAACGCAACUUAAAAACGCU